AUGAACGCUGGCGGCGUGCCUAAUACAUGCAAGUCGAGCGAACAGACGAGGAGCUUGCUCCUCUGACGUUAGCGGCGGACGGGUGAGUAACACGUGGAUAACCUACCUAUAAGACUGGGAUAACUUCGGGAAACAGGAGCUAAUACCGGAUAAUAUAUUGAACCGCAUGGUUCAAUAGUGAAAGACGGUUUUGCUGUCACUUAUAGAUGGAUCCGCGCCGCAUUAGCUAGUUGGUAAGGUAACGGCUUACCAAGGCAACGAUGCGUAGCCGACCUGAGAGGGUGAUCAGCCACACUGGAACUGAGACACGGUCCAGACUCCUACGGGAGGCAGCAGUAGGGAAUCUUCCGCAAUGGGCGAAAGCUUGACGGAGCAACGCCGCGUGAGUGAUGAAGGUCUUCGGAUCGUAAAACUCUGUUAUUAGGGAAGAACAAAUGUGUAAGUAACUAUGCACGUCUUGACGGUACCUAAUCAGAAAGCCACGGCUAACUACGUG
rnacentral:rRNA from 1 species